rnacentral:rRNA from 1 species
UACGGGGGGAGCAAGCGUUGUUCGGAUUUACUGGGCGUAAAGGGCGCGUAGGCGGUCAGCACAAGUCAGUUGUGAAAUCUCCGGGCUUAACUCGGAAAGGUCAACUGAUACUGUGCGACUAGAGUGCGGAAGGGGCAACUGGAAUUCUUGGUGUAGCGGUGAAAUGCGCAGAUAUCAGGAGGAACACCGAUGGCGAAGGCAGGUCUCUGGGCAUUAACUGACGCUGAGGAGCGAAAGCAUGGGGAGCGAACAGG